GUUGACCUCGGAUCAGGUAGGGAUACCCGCUGAACUUAAGCAUAUCAAUAAGCGGAGGAAAAGAAACCAACAGGGAUUACCUCAGUAACGGCGAGUGAAGCGGUAACAGCUCAAAUUUGAAAUCUGGGUCUUUCAGGCUCCGAGUUGUAAUUUGUAGAAGAUGCUUCGGGUGCGGCUCCGGUCUAAGUUCCUUGGAACAGGACGUCAUAGAGGGUGAGAAUCCCGUAUGUGAUCGGUUGCUUGCGCCCAUGUGAAGCUCUUUCGACGAGUCGAGUUGUUUGGGAAUGCAGCUCAAAAUGGGUGGUAAAUUUCAUCUAAAGCUAAAUAUUGGCCAGAGACCGAUAGCGCACAAGUAGAGUGAUCGAAAGAUGAAAAGCACUUUGGAAAGAGAGUUAAACAGUACGUGAAAUUGUUGAAAGGGAAGCGCUUGCAACCAGACUUGCGCGUUGCCGAUCAUCUGGGGUUCUCCCCAGUGCACUCGGCCUCGCUCAGGCCAGCAUCGGUUUCGGUGGUGGGAUAAAGGCCUUGGGAAUGUAGCUUCUUUCGGGGAGUGUUAUAGCCCUCGGUGCAAUGCCGCCUACCGGGACCGAGGACCGCGCUUCGGCUAGGAUGCUGGCGUAAUGGUUGUAAGCGACCCGUCUUGAAACACGGACCAAGGAGUCUAACAUCUAUGCGAGUGUUUGGGUGUCAAACCCAUACGCGUAAUGAAAGUGAACGGAGGUGAGAACCCUUAAGGGUGCAUCAUCGACCGAUCCUGAUGUCUUCGGAUGGAUUUGAGUAAGAGCAUAGCUGUUGGGACCCGAAAGAUGGUGAACUAUGCCUGAAUAGGGUGAAGCCAGAGGAAACUCUGGUGGAGGCUCGCAGCGGUUCUGACGUGCAAAUCGAUCGUCAAAUUUGGGUAUAGGGGCGAAAGACUAAUCGAACCAUCUAGUAGCUGGUUCCUGC
rnacentral:rRNA from 1 species